GAUGGAGGAGGCAAGCGUUAUCCGGAAUUGUUGGGCGUAAAGGGUACGUAGGCGGCUGGUCAAGUCUGGGGUCAAAGGCCACAGCUCAACUGUGGGAAGGCCCUGGAAACUGACCGGUUAGUGUGAGGUAGGGGUUGCGGGAAUUCCCGGUGUAGCGGUGAAAUGCGUAGAGAUCGGGAAGUACACCUGAGGCGGAAGCGCGCAACUGGGCCUCAACUGACGCUGAUGUACGAAAGGUAGGGGAGCGAAUGGG
rnacentral:rRNA from 1 species